AUUGAACGCUGGCGGAAUGCUUUACACAUGCAAGUCGAACGGGCUUAAAGAGCUUGCUCUUUAAGUUAGUGGCGAACGGGUGAGUAAUAUAUCGGAACGUAUCCAAUAAUGGGGGAUAACUAAUCGAAAAGUUGGCUAAUACCGCAUACGCCCUACGGGGGAAAGCUAGGGACCUUCGGGCCUGGCGUUAAUGGAGCGGC
rnacentral:rRNA from 1 species